rnacentral:ncRNA from 1 species
UCAGAUUCCCCGGGGUGCUUUCCCGCCAUUGGCGGGCCGGCUGAGAUAAUACCCGUAGAACCUGAUCAGGGUAAUGCCUGCGCAGGGAAGGUAGUUCCAUCAUUC